UCCUCCUCGCAUUUCCUUCACUUCUCUUGUGAAAACCUAUUUUUGGUUAGGUUUCUGUGAAGUUUUAAGAUCAGAAAAUGGGAUCCUUCCCCACUUCCAACAGCCGACCUUCUUUCCUUUUCUACAAAUAUCAUCAUGACCUUUUUGUCUUUUCAACAGCACCAUCAUUACUUUUUAUUAAAUCUCUAUCACUUCUUCUCUCAUGUCCCAUCCUCCCAAUUUUAUUUUAUUUUUUCUCCCCAUCAGCCAGUUCUCUUCCCUCACAUCUUUUUCUCUCUCUGACACACCCCACUUUCCUGUGCACUCUCCCCUCCCUCACGUUACUCAUUCUCAGCCACUUAAUCUUUCUUUAUUUUAUCUCUCUUUCCCUCAAACUUUUUCAUUUCAUCUGCAUGCAUAGAAAGCAACGUAGAGAAGCAGGGAAAGAGGCCGAGAGUAUGAAUAAGAGCAAAGGCUCUCGUUUGUUAUCAUGCAAAUGAGUUAGUAUGCAUGUAAGCUUAAGUUAUGGAGAUUUUUAGAUAGGUUGUCUUGUCAAAGCUCGAAUUAUCAAGUGAUGUAGGCUACGACGAGAAGCGGCAUAAUUUGAUUCGGAGAAUCGAUUUCGCUUGGGCUGUGGAGAAUGACGAGAA